AUUGAACGCUGGCGGCAGGCCUAACACAUGCAAGUCGAGCGCGCGGCGGACACGGGAGUAAUGUCUCGGGAACUCCGCGAUGGAGGGGGGUAACUACUGGAGACGGUAGCUCAUACCCCAUACCACAUCAGAUGUCCACAGGGGAUUAGCUAGUAGGUGGGGUAACGGCUCACCUAGGCGCCGAUCCCUAGCUGGUCUGAGAGGAUGACCAGCCACACUGGAACUGAGACACGGUCCAGACUCCUACGGGAGGCAGCAGUGGGGAAUAUUGCACAAUGGGCGCAAGCCUGAUGCAGCCAUGCCGCGUGUAUGAAGAAGGCCUUCGGGUUGUAAAGCACUUUCAGCGAGGAGGCGUUACCCGCAGAAGAAGCACCGGCUAACUCCGUGCCAGCCGCCGCGGUAAUAC
rnacentral:rRNA from 1 species